GGAUGUCGAGCCGCGAGGAGCCGCUGGGUCUCGGAGACCUGCCCAAGUUGAGUAUUAACAGACUCGGGCGGUUCGUGUCGCUGGGCGCUCGGAGGCCACCGGCCGCCGACGACGACCACAGCACUGGCAAGCAAGUGUAGUAGGCCUAUAUGGUAUGUAUAUUAUGAGAUGUUCACAACUCAAUGUCGGUCAUUCUCCUCUGUACACAACUCUGAACUGUAUACCGUUGUUUUGAUUUGUAUCUGGUGCUGAUGAAAUUGCUGUUGUUGUCAAUGGUCUUGGUAGGAUCUGUAUGUGAAUGCAGCAGGGGCAGAAGAACAUGGUGGAAUUCUUUGACCUACUCCUUUCUCCGGCAUCGAAAAUCUUGAACACCUGGUUUGAGAGUGAGGUUUUGAAGGCCACUCUUGCAACUAACGCCGUGAUAGGAGCUAUGGUGAGGGCACUUUGAAUGGAAUAAGCAAAAUAUUUUGCCUAGCACGUUGGCAUUUGACUGCUGGAUAUCCCUUUUAUAGGCUGGUGUGCACACUCUAGGUUCUGGAUAUGUUCUCCUACACCAUGUCAUGGGGGAGACUGGUGGUCAGCGUGGUGUUUGGGC